AGGACGAACGCUGGCGGCGUGCUUAACACAUGCAAGUCGAGCGAUGAAGCACCUUCGGGUGUGAAUUAGCGGCGAACGGGUGAGGAACACGUGAGAAAUCUGCCUUCAACACUGGGAUAACUCCGGGAAACCGGGGCUAAUACCGGAUAUGAAACCUGCGGGCAUCCGCGGGUUUGGAAAGUUUUUCGGUUGAAGAUGAUCUCGCGGCCUAUCAGCUUGUUGGUGAGGUAAUGGCUCACCAAGGCGACGACGGGUAGCCGGCCUGAGAGGGCGACCGGCCACACUGGGACUGAGACACGGCCCAGACUCCUACGGGAGGCAGCAGUGGGGAAUAUUGGGCAAUGGAGGAAACUCUGACCCAGCGACGCCGCGUGCGGGAUGAAGGCCUUCGGGUUGUAAACCGCUUUCAGCAGGGAAGAAGCGAAAGUGACGGUACCUGCAGAAGAAGCACCGGCUAACUAUGUG
rnacentral:rRNA from 1 species